rnacentral:rRNA from 1 species
GACGAACGCUGGCGGCGUGCUUAACACAUGCAAGUCGAGCGGUAAGGCCCUUUCGGGGGUACACGAGCGGCGAACGGGUGAGUAACACGUGGGUGACCUGCCCUCAGCUCUGGGAUAAGCCCGGGAAACUGGGUCUAAUACCGGAUAUGACUUCAUGACGCAUGUUGUGGAGUGGAAAGCCUUGUGCGGCUGAGGAUGGGCCCGCGGCCUAUCAGCUUGUUGGUGGGGUGANGGCCUACAAGGCGACGACGGGUAGCCGGCCUGAGAGGCGACCGGCCACACUGGGACUGAGAUA